UACGUAGGUGGCAAGCGUUGUCCGGAUUUAUUGGGCGUAAAGCGCGCGCAGGCGGUCCUUUAAGUCUGAUGUGAAAGCCCACGGCUCAACCGUGGAGGGUCAUUGGAAACUGGGGGACUUGAGUACAGGAGAGAAAAGUGGAAUUCCACGUGUAGCGGUGAAAUGCGUAGAGAUGUGGAGGAACACCAGUGGCGAAGGCGACUUUUUGGCCUGUAACUGACGCUGAGGCGCGAAAGCGUGGGGAGCAAACAGG
rnacentral:rRNA from 1 species